rnacentral:rRNA from 1 species
UACGUAGGGGGCUAGCGUUGUCCGGAAUCAUUGGGCGUAAAGAGCGUGUAGGCGGUCCGGUAAGUCCGCUGUGAAAGUCGGGGGCUCAACCCUCGAAUGCCGGUGGAUACUGCUGGGCUAGAGUCCGGAAGAGGCGAGUGGAAUUCCUGGUGUAGCGGUGAAAUGCGCAGAUAUCAGGAGGAACACCGAUGGCGAAGGCAGCUCGCUGGGACGGUACUGACGCUGAGGCGCGAAAGCGUGGGGAGCAAACAGG